GACGAACGCUGGCGGCGUGCUUAACACAUGCAAGUCGAACGGAAAGGCCCUGCUUUUGUGGGGUGCUCGAGUGGCGAACGGGUGAGUAACACGUGAGUAACCUGCCCUUGACUUUGGGAUAACUUCAGGAAACUGGGGCUAAUACCGGAUAGGAGCUCCUGCUGCAUGGUGGGGGUUGGAAAGUUUCCGCGGUUGGGGAUGGACUCGCGGCUUAUCAGCUUGUUGGUGGGGUAGUGGCUUACCAAGGCUUUGACGGGUAGCCGGCCUGAGCGGGUGACCGGCCACAUUGGGACUGAGAUACGGCCCAGACUCCUACGGGAGGCAGCAGUGGGGAAUAUUGCACAAUGGGCGGAAGCAUGAUGCAGCAACGCCGCGUGCGGGAUGACGGCCUUCGGGUUGUAAACCGCUUUCGCCUGUGACGAAGCGUGAGUGACGGUAAUGGGUAAAGAAGCACCGGCUAACUACGUG
rnacentral:rRNA from 1 species